AUUUUUGCUGGGUGAAUUUUCUAGUCUGACAGGCCAACAUCAGUCUUGACUGCUGGAAAAGAGCAGAGGGAAUGUGGCACCUUUGGGUGUGUUAUAGCCCUUUGUCAUAUGUAGCAGUUGGGACUGAGGGAUGCAGCGUGCCGCGAGGCUGGGUUUCGACCACGUUCACGCUUAGGAUGUUGGCUUUUAAUGGCUUCAAUCGACCCGUCUUGAAACACGGACCAAGGAGUCUAACAUGCCUGCGAGUGUUUGGGUGAAAACCCUUGCGCACAAUGAAAGUGAAAGUUGAGAUCCCUGUCAUGGGGAGCAUUGACGCCCGGACCUGAGCUUUUAGCAAUGGAUCCGCGGUAGAGCAUGCAUGUUGGGACCCGAAAGAUGGUGAACUAUGCCUGAAUAGGGCAAAGCCAGAGGAAACUCUGGUGGAGGCUCGUAGCGAUUCUGACGUGCAAAUCGAUCGUCAAAUUUGGGUAUAGGGGCGAAAGACUAAUCGAACCAUCUAGUAGCUGGUUCCUGCCGAAGUUUCCCUCAGGAUAGCAGAAGCUCAUUAUCAGAUUUAUGUGGUAAAGCGAAUGAUUAGAGGCCUUGGGGUUGAAACAACCUUAACCUAUUCUCAAACUUUAAAUAUGUAAGAACGAGCUGUCACUUGAUUGGACUGCUCGGUGAUUGAGAGCUUCUAGUGGGCCAUUUUUGGUAAGCAGAACUGGCGAUGCGGGAUGAACCGAUCGCAAGGUUAAGGUGCCAGAGUUCACGCUCAUCAGACACCACAAAAGGUGUUGGUUCAUCUAG
rnacentral:rRNA from 1 species